AGAUGAGGUCAGAGGGUGAGAGUAGUAACCACUGAAGUGUAAGGCCGGGGAGGACAGGCCAGAUCAAGGCUGGAACCCAGACCCUGGGCUCUGGGGCAGGCGCUGGGCACAGAAGCGUUGAGAGGCUGCAGACAGUGGAAGCUCUCUGGAGAAGCCCAAGGAAUCCAACCAUCCCAGGCUGGGAAAUGCAAACUCAGGCCCUUGUUCGCGGAGCCUGGACCCGAAACUGCCCAAAACUAUGCAGGGCUCAUGCUGACGGGGUGACGGCUAAAUAUAGGAAACCCAACUAUCUGGAGAAUGCAGCUUCUGCAUUUGGGAGGGUAACGAUCUUAGUCCCCCGACCAGGGAUUGAACCUGCACCCUCGGCAGUGAAAGCACUGAGCUCUAACCACUGGACUGCCAAAGGACCACUGGAAUUCCCAGGAGGGAUGUUUCUUUUUUUGAGGAACUGGACGUUUUCUGCUCCAUGCCUCUGAACCACGGCAAGGAGACCUCUCCCCAUGUUCUCCACUUCUCGCCUCGAGGGUCUGCAUCUCCCCCUCCCCACAUUCAGGGAUGGAGUGUGGUCUGUUGGUAUGCUUUUCCCAGAGACAGAUGUUGUGGGAAGGGCAAAAUCCAGCUGGGGCUUCCCCCCACCUUAGAAAUAGUCAGCCCAGGGGCUUCCCUGCUGGCGCACUGGUUAAGAAUCCGCCUGUCAAUUCAGGGGACACGGGUUCGAGCCCUGGUCCGGGAAGAUCCCACAUGCCACGGAGCAGCUAAGGCCAUGCGCCACAACUACUGAACCUGUGCUCUAGGGCCUGCGAGCCACAACUACUGAGCCCACGUGUUGUAACUACUGAAGCCCGGGUGCCUAGAGCCUGUGCUCCGCAACAAGAGAAGCCACUGCAAUGAGAAGCCCGCGCACCACAACGAAGAGUAGCCCCCGCUCGCCGCAACUAGAGAAAGCCCGCACGCAGCAACGAAGACCCAACGCAGCCAAAAAUAAAUAAAUAAAUAAAAUUAUUCUUUAAAAAAAGAAACAGUCGGCCCGGAGGGCCCAGGAAAGCAACUGAAUUCUGGGGGAAGGUUGGGUACCUUUGUGCAGUCUGUGUUAGUUUCCUGGGGCUGCUGCAACAAACCACACGGAUUUGGUGGCUUAAGGCAGCAGAAAUUUAUUCUCUGCAGUUCUGGAGGCCGGAAGUCUGAAAUUAGCAUCACUGGGCUGUAAUCCAGGUGCGGCAGGGAUGCGCUCCCUCACCUCCCCAGGAGGCUCCAGGGGAGGGUCCUUCCCACCUCCUGCAGCUCUUGGGGCCGCGGUGUCCUGAGCUUGUGGUCGCGGCCUUCCAGUCUCUGCCUCUGUCUUUCUGUGGCCUCUCCUCUGUGUCUGUGCAGAAUCUCCUCCUGCCUCUUUCUUUUUCUUUUUUUUUUUAACUUUUUAAAUUUUUUGGCCGCACCGCGUGGCAUGCAGGAUCUUAGUUCCUGGACCAGGGAUUAAACUCGCGCCCCCUGCAGUGGAAGCUCAGAGUCCUAACCACUGGACUGCUAGGGAAGUCCCUCUGUCUCCUCCUUAUGACUGCAUCAAGGGCCCACCAGGAUAAUCUCCCCAUCUCAAAAGCCUUCAUUAAAUCACACCUGCAAAAUCUUCGCCUGCUCAGGUAACAGAGUCACAGGUUCCUGGGACUUAGGACCUGAUAUCUUUGGGGUGGGGUCAUUCUUCAGCCAAUCGCGAAGUCUCUCUCCAGGGCUGACGUGCAUGCUGACAGGAAUGCCCCCAUGCCCAGCACCAGGCGGCCUGCCCCGGAGAGAAGGCAGCUGAAGCAACGGGCGAGGCGGUGCUGUCUUCCUGGAGGAUGACCCCACACGGAGCUGAUAAGGCUCCCAUUUGGGCCGACAGGAGAG